UAAGGAAUAUUGCGCAAUGGGCGAAAGCCUGACGCAGCGACGCCGCGUGGGGGAUGAAGGUCUUCGGAUUGUAAACCCCUUUCGGGAGGGAAGAUGGAAUGGGGUAACCCAUUCGGACGGUACCUCCAGAAGCAGCCACGGCUAACUUCGUGCCAGCAGCCGCGGUAAUACGAAGGUGGCAAGCGUUAUUCGGAUUUACUGGGCGUACAGGGAGCGUAGGCGGUUCGGUAAGCCCUUUGUGAAAUCUCCAGGCUUAACCUGGAAAAGUCGGAGGGGACUGCCGGGCUAGAGGACGGGAGAGGAGCGCGGAAUUCCCGGUGUAGCGGUGAAAUGCGUAGAGAUCGGGAGGAAGGCCGGUGGCGAAGGCGGCGCUCUGGAACGUUUCUGACGCUGAGGCUCGAAAGCGUGGGGAGCAAACAGGAUUAGAUACCUAGUAGUCCCUGAGCGGGCUGGCAAGGCGCAU
rnacentral:rRNA from 1 species